rnacentral:rRNA from 1 species
AUUGAACGCUGGCGGCAGGCCUAACACAUGCAAGUCGAGCGAGCGGCGGACGGGUGAGUAAUGUAUGGGGAUCUGCCAGAUGGAGGGGGAUAACUACUGGAAACGGUUGCUAAUACCGCAUACUAUCGGAUGAACCCAUCUGGGAUUAGCUAGUAGGUGGGGUAAAGGCUCACCUAGGCGACGAUCUCUAGCUGGUCUGAGAGGAUGAUCAGGCACACUGGGACUGAGAAACGCCCCAGACUCCUCCGGGAGGCAGCAGUGGGGAAUAUUGCACAAUGGGGGCAAGCCUGAUGCAGCCAUGCCGCGGGUAUGAAGAAGGCCUUAGGGUUGUAAAGUACUUUCAGCGGGGAGGCGUUACCCGCAGAAGAAGCACCGGCUAACUCCGUGCCAGCAGCCGCGGUAAUAC